UCUGAUUAUUUUUCUUUUUCUUCGGGGCAAUCUGCAGCAUGAAUAGGCAAUUUGGUGGAAGAAAAUCAAUUGCUUCUUCUCUGAUUAUUUUUCUUUUUCUUCGGGGCAAUCUGCAGCAUGAAUAGGCAAUUUGGUGGAAGAAAAUCAAUUGCUUCUUCUCUGAUUAUUUUUCUUUUUCUUCAGGGCAAUCUGCAGCAUGAAUAGGCAGGUAGCAAUUCUGUGCCCUUGGUAGGUAUUAGAGUAAUGAAGGAGCUGAUUGCACUUCUUAGAUAUCUCAGACUCUGCAUGCUCUUCUUGAAGAAGCCUUAUGAAGUAUUCCUACAGUUCGGUGGAUACGACUAGAGUUAUGUUCUCAUAGAGAAGUCCAAGGCAAGGGUACAUAUACCAUCGUGAGCUUCAAGCCCGCCUUCACGGUUGUCCGCGACAAAAGUAAGAGAUGCUUCCUACUUCUCAUCGGGG
rnacentral:lncRNA from 1 species